rnacentral:lncRNA from 1 species
CUGCAAGCUCCGCCUCCCAGGUUUACGCCAUUCUCCUGCCUCAGCCUCCCAAGUAGCUGGGACUACAGGCGCCUGCCACCGCGCCCGGCUAAUUUUUUGUAUUUUUAGUAGAGACGGGGUUUCACCGUGUUAGCCAGGAUGGUUUCGAUCUCCUGACCUCGUGAUCCGCCCGCCUUGGCCUCCCAAAGUGCUGGGAUUACAGGCGUGAGCCACCGCGCCCGGCCCGUGAAACUUGCUUUCUUAAAAAAUAAUAAUAACUUGUUAUCUGAAGAAAAUUAAAAGAUUAUCUUUUAAGAGAGAUAAACAUUCUUACAAAAAACUAUAUUUUCCUCUAUCAUCUCUUUAAAAGAAAUGCAAACCAGUUCAUUAUCUUUGUUUUUUUGAGAGUCACACUCUAUUGCCCAGGCUGGAGUGCAGUGGCGCCAUCUCGGCUCACUGCAAUCUCUGCCUCCUGGGUUCAAGCAAUUCUUCUGCCUCAGCCUCCCAAGUAGCUGGGAUUACAGGCACAUGCCUCCAUGCCUGGCUAAUUUUUUAAUUUUUAGUAGAGGUGAGGUUUUGCCAUGUUGGCCAGGCUGGUCUGGAACUCCUGGCCUCAAGUGAUCUGCCCGCCUCAGCCUCCCAAAGUGCUGGGAUUACAGGUGUGAGCCACCACGCCCGGCCUAGUUCAUUAUCUUUAAUAAUGAACUAGACAAUAAACUAAUUGUUGUCUAAAAACUUCUGAAUACAUGAAGUACAAGUCUGAGCUGUCAAGUCAAAAAUGCCAUUUAGAUUUCACAUAUUAAACAGCUAUAGUAGGCCAGUCUUUAACCCUGGCAAACUUCCUU